rnacentral:rRNA from 1 species
UACGUAGGCAGCAAGCGUUGUUCGGAAUUACUGGGCGUAAAGAGUGUGUAGGCGGUGCACUGAGUCUGUCGUGAAAUCUCCCGGCUUAACCGGGAGGGUGCGGCGGAUACUGGUGUGCUCGAGGGUGGGAGAGGUAAGCGGAAUUCCUGGUGUAGCGGUGAAAUGCGUAGAUAUCAGGAGGAACACCUGCGGUGUAGACAGCUUUCUGGACCACUUCUGACGCUGAGACACGAAAGCGUGGGUAGCAAACAGG